rnacentral:snRNA from 1 species
UUCGCUCAAUAAACUCUGUCAACCUGUUCUUAUCAGUUUAGUAGCUGAUAUGUUCUAUCUCUCGGAACAGGGAGGUGGCAUGGGAGCUUGCACUGUCCUCUUGGCACAUCAGCUUGGUAUCGCAAUACCUCCAGGUGUGGUGCACCUCCU